GACGUCACGCGCGCGCCUCCGGUCUGGGCCGCGGGCUCCUCGGGGUCGCGGUCGCGCGUGGCCGCGGUCUCCUGGCCUGUCGCUGUCGCUGUCGUCGCUGUCUCGGGCCGUGCCAGCCUCCCGGGCUGCACCAUGUACCACAGCAGCAGCCAGAAGCGGCACUGGACCUUUGCGAGCGAGGAGCAGCUGGCGCGCCUGCGGGCCGACGCCAACCGCAAAUUCAAGUGCAAAGCGGUGGCUAACGGGAAGGUUCUUCCAAAUGAUCCAGUGUUUCUUGAGCCUUAUGAAGAAAUGACACUUUGCAAAUACUAUGAGAAAAGAUUAUUGGAAUUCUGUUCGGUGUUUAAGCCAGCAAUGCCACGCUCUGUUGUGGGUACAGCUUGUAUGUAUUUCAAGCGUUUUUAUCUUAAUAAUUCAGUAAUGGAAUAUCACCCCCGGAUAAUAAUGUAUUUUACCAAUACCGCCGUCAGUGACAUCUUUAUUCUCCCAAUUCCUCAGACUAACAACCAUUUGUGGCUCACUUGUGCAUUUCUAGCCUGCAAAGUAGAUGAAUUCAAUGUGUCUAGUCCUCAGUUUGUUGGAAAUCUUCGAGAGAGUCCCCUUGGACAGGAGAAGGCACUGGAACAGAUUUUGGAAUAUGAACUACUACUUAUACAGCAGCUUAAUUUUCACCUUAUCGUCCACAAUCCUUAUCGACCAUUUGAAGGCUUUCUCAUUGAUAUAAAGACUCGAUACCCCAUGUUGGAGAAUCCAGAGAUUUUGAGGAAAACAGCUGAUGAUUUUCUUAGUAGAAUUGCGUUGACAGAUGCUUAUCUUUUGUACACACCUUCACAAAUUGCCCUGACAGCUAUUUUAUCAAGUGCCUCUAGGGCUGGAAUUACUAUGGAAAGCUAUUUAUCAGAGAGUCUAAUGCUGAGAGAAAAUAGAACUUGCCUGUCACAGUUACUGGAUAUAAUGAAAAGCAUGAGAAACCUAGUAAAAAAGUAUGAACCACCCAGGUCUGAAGAAGUUGCUGUUCUGAAACAGAAGUUGGAGCGAUGCCAUUCUGCUGACCUUGCGCUUAAUGUGGUGACGAAGAAGAGGAAAGGCUAUGAAGAUGAUGACUAUGUAUCAAAGAAACCCAAACAAGAAGAGGAGGAAUGGACUGAUGAUGACCUGGUAGACUCUCUCUAACCUUUUGAAGUCACAACGGCAGUGCUAAUGAAGCAACAGAAGUAGGAAGCAUGUCUGACAUUUAAGUAGUACAAUAUCACUAAAAUCACUAAAGUUUGGCAUCAGAGCAAGGUCUCACAUGUACCUCUGAAAAUUUUCUACCCAGCCCCAUUAAAAAAAAAAUGUUUCAAAGAUUUUAUUUAUUUCACCACUAAACACCUACCUACUACUGCAGGGCCAAUGAAGGUAAGUAACAAGUUUCCCACUAAAAUUUAAAACACAAACGUCAGUAAAACACAAAAAUGGAGAUAAGUCUUUCUUUUAAAAUAAAUGGUAAAAAAGGAGAGUCAUGUCUGGCCAAGGAAUGGCAGAUAGGCCAUCAUGGCUGACACUCAAGUACAAUUAAUGAGGAUAAACUAAAAUGGCUUAGAGAUUGGACCUCGGGCUGCUUUUGAAAGUUCUUAUCUACAUUAACCAGUUAGUAGCCCUUCCACCUUAUAAACCAAGGAAAUGAGAUGAGUUACUAUCAUAGUACAGCCAGGAAUAGGAACAGGAACAGGAACUGUAAUGGGUUCCAGAGAGAAAGGGAUUACAUUGAGAACAAAACUUUGUUUUGUUUUUGUUAUCACAGUUAACCUGAUUGAAGCUAUGUUAAGGACAGUAAAUUACCUGUAUGGCUGCAUUCAGCCCUAUAUUUAAGCUGGGGAUAUCUCUCAAUGGUAACAUCAAGCAUCUUUCUAAAGAAUACAUUGAGGCCUCUUCAGUUUGUUCCUCAGCAAAGAGAAAUAAACCCUUGAGUACUUAACAUCUUUCACUGUAUACAAUAUCUCUGAGGAGUGCAACCAACUGUUUUUAGAAUCUAGGCCUUCAGAAAAACAUCUUAUUGAGGGAAUUCUUUUUUUUUUUUUUAAUUAAUACCUUCCUUGGUUCUUUUUAAACAAACAAAC